rnacentral:rRNA from 1 species
GAUGAACGCUAGCUACAGGCUUAACACAUGCAAGUCGAGGGGCAGCAUGGUCUUAGCUUGCUAAGGCCGAUGGCGACCGGCGCACGGGUGAGUAACACGUAUCCAACCUGCCGUCUACUCUUGGACAGCCUUCUGAAAGGAAGAUUAAUACAAGAUGGCAUCAUGAGUCCGCAUGUUCACAUGAUUAAAGGUAUUCCGGUAGACGAUGGGGAUGCGUUCCAUUAGAUAGUAGGCGGGGUAACGGCCCACCUAGUCUUCGAUGGAUAGGGGUUCUGAGAGGAAGGUCCCCCACAUUGGAACUGAGACACGGUCCAAACUCCUACGGGAGGCAGCAGUGAGGAAUAUUGGUCAAUGGGCGAGAGUCUGAACCAGCCAAGUAGCGUGAAGGAUGACUGCCCUAUGGGUUGUAAACUUCUUUUAUAAAGGAAUAAAGUCGGGUAUGCAUACCCGUUUGCAUGUACUUUAUGAAUAAGGAUCGGCUAA